rnacentral:rRNA from 1 species
AUUGAACGCUGGCGGCAGGCCUAACACAUGCAAGUCGAGCGGAUGACGGGAGCUUGCUCCUUGAUUCAGCGGCGGACGGGUGAGUAAUGCCUAGGAAUCUGCCUGGUAGUGGGGGACAACGUUUCGAAAGGAACGCUAAUACCGCAUACGUCCUACGGGAGAAAGCAGGGGACCUUCGGGCCUUGCGCUAUCAGAUGAGCCUAGGUCGGAUUAACUAGUAGGUGAGGUAAUGGCUCACCUAGGCGACGAUCCGUAACUGGUCUGAGAGGAUGAUCAGUCACACUGGAACUGAGACACGGUCCAGACUCCUACGGGAGGCAGCAGUGGGGAAUAUUGGACAAUGGGCGAAAGCCUGAUCCAGCCAUGCCGCGUGUGUGAAGAAGGUCUUCGGAUUGUAAAGCACUUUAAGUUGGGAGGAAGGGCAGUAAGCUAAUACCUUGCUGUUUUGACGUUACCAACAGAAUAAGCACCGGCUAACUCUGUGCCAGCAGCCGCAGUAACAC